UACAGAGGCUCCAAGCAUUAUCCGGAAUCACUGGGCGUAAAGGGUGUGUAGGCGGUCUAGUUAGUCUUUCGUGAAAGCUUUCCGGCUUAACCGGGAAAACGCGGGGGAAACGGCUAGGCUACGAGGACGUAAGAGGUACAGGGAACUCAUGGUGUAGGGGUGAAAUCCGUUGAUAUCAUGGGGAACACCAAAUGCGAAGGCACUGUACUGGUACGCUCCUGACGCUGAGACACGAAAGCGUGGGAAUCGAACGGG
rnacentral:rRNA from 1 species